UCCUUGGUCAAUUGUAGAUAAC
rnacentral:siRNA from 1 species